CCUUGAUGGCCAUAUGUCAUUUUGCCAUUUUCCUUUGACUUCAUGUGUAUUGUAGGGUUACAUGAUAGUAUUCCUGUCGUCACACGGUUCUCUAGAGGCUCUUGCUCACUCUAAUCAUCCUGACUUUGGCUCUAUAGACUGAUGUUCUCUCCAAUUUAGUUGUCGUGUCUGAUCACUUCUGAAUUUUUCUCGUCUCAAACCUUUUCGCUGAAAUUUUUAGGCAUUAAAGCUCAAACGAACUUGAAAGAUAUCAAGGUGGUUACAUAAAUUAACCACUUUCUCAAUUUUGAAAGCUACCUCAUUUCAACAAUUUGUAUCUCUUUAUAAUAUUUCUUCUGCAGAUUCACAUUGCCUCCAUUUCUAACACUCAAGAACUUUGAGGGCUUGGACCUUGGAAAGAUGGACAAGGCUGAUGAUUCUGGUCUGGCAUCAUAUGUUGCUGGGCAAAUUGACAGAUCUCUGAGCUGGAAGUGUUUCAGGAGGCAAUGCAGGAAUUAUGGCUACUCCCUACUUGCUCUUGCAUGAUGGAAUAGAGCUCCAGUUUGCAACAAAUCAUAUUGGUCAUUUUCUUCUAACAAAUCUUUUGUUGGAGAACAUGAAGGAUACAUCCCGUAAAAGUAAUACUGAAGAAGGAUUGUCAUUCUUUCAUCAGAGGGCAACAGAAUGACCUGCC